UGGAGGUGGCUGCCUUUUUAUCAAUCUAUCUACAUUUGAUAUCAUACAUCUUCUUCAGACUUCCUGCCUCUGCCUGCAGUCUUAUGCAAGAACAGAACUCCCCUAGUCCCCUCUAUAUGUUUACUCAACCCUUUCCACACCCCUUAAAACCUCAAUAUGGCUUAUGUUACAGAUAAUCUACCUUAAAAUCCUUCUGUAGUUUUAUGUCAGUUUGGAAUUAUGAACUGUAUUUCAAACAGAUCCCCCCCUCCACUCUUUGCAGUCAAAGUCUCAUGAUCGAGGGUGAACCCAAUAUCAUUAUUCUCAAAACACACUUCAGCCAGAAGGUCUACUCUGACACCAAACAAGCCAGCAUGUCCCUCACCAGGGCACUGGUCCCAGUAGAGAGAGAUGCAUCCCAUACUGUCUGACCAGGUCGUUUGGCAAGCUGGAGAUCAACAAGAACUCACCAGAGGGAGACAGCACUGUCAACCAGGUAGGUUGGGUUUCAUUACUGUCACUUUCUGACCUUUAUUUCCUUUGUUUUGUCUUUAUUUAGUAUGGUCAGGGCGUGAGUUGGGGUGGGCAGUCUAUGUGUGUUUUUCUAUGUUGGGGUUUUGAGUUCGGCCUAGUAUGGUUCUCAAUUAGAGGCAGCUGUCAAUUGUUGUCCCUGAUUGAGAAUCAUACUUAGGUAGCCUGGGUUGCACUUUUGGUUUGUGGGUGUUUGUGCCCUGUGUCAGUGUUUGUGCCACACGGGACUGUUUAGUUUCUAUUCACUUUGUUAUUUUGUAUUCUGUCGUGUUCAGUUUGUGGACACUUACCACGCUGCGUAUUGGUCCGAUCCUUGCUACUCCUCUUCAGAUGAAGAGGAGGAAUGCCGUUACAAUUACAUUUACUGGCACAUAUCUGACCUUGGAUGGACAAUAAAGUUCUAUUUAGUUCUAUUAUUUUCUAUUCUAUUGCUGAGAACCUAGGUUUGAUUUAUCAUAUCAUUUUGAUGGUCUGCCCUGCACUUUACAAAGCGUGUGACUCCCUCCUGGGAGGGGCCAGGCUAGGUUGGUGCAGAUGGUAGUCCAGAGGGUUUACGUUACCCCUGGCAGAUCCCGCUCCAUAAAGGCAAACGCAGAUCUGGUGCCCUUGUUACUGAAGCUCAAACUGUGUGUUACUCAUGUAAGCCAUGUACUUCCUCCUCUGAAUUUGAUUGAAUUUAACUGUACAAUAUCAUUUUGGUUUUCGACCACAUGGAAAGUUUAUGCCCUCAAUUAGGGUGGCAAAGGGUCGGAAACCUUCCAGAAAUUUUCCAAGGGAAGUUAAUCCUGGGAAUUUUGCUUAAAUUCAUCAACAUUUAGCUGACAACAGUGAACCUUUUUUUGUGGGAUACACAUCAGGUAAUUCUAGGUCUUGUGGCAUAUUUUGGUUAAACUAUCCCCAAUUCAAUGGAAAUCUAACCAUCUGCAUGCACAGCACAUUGUUCCAUCACAUGUACAGCUGCUUCUCAAUAUCUUGCACACUAAUGAGAUACUAGUGAGCCCACACUACUACACUGUCUGAGCCAAGGACUACAUGCUUUCUGGUAAGUUUUGAUUACAAAACUGGGUGGGGUGAAUAUAUUUUAUAUGACAUGAUUUUUUGUUAACUAGUAAAUAGUAGAUUACAGCAAAGUGUGUUUAAAUAAUGUCUAACUUGUUAACAAUUUCUGCUAGUUUGUUUUUGCUAUCAUGUGGGUUUUAGCUUGCUUGAACCUGCUAACUGAGGAGUGUUAAUUGUUUCCAUACAUUUUGUAAAGUGUGCGCUGGAAGUCGGGAAACAAGUUCAGGAGUGAAUAAUUUAAUCAAUAAAUGAAACAUAAUACAAAGAAAGAAACACAAACAACGCACAGACAUGAAACAGAAACAGUGACGCCUGGGGAAGGAACCAAAGGGAGUGACAUAUAAAGGGCAGGUAAUCAAGGAGGUGAUGGAGUCCAGGUGAGUGUCAUUAUGCACAGAUGCGCGUAACGAUGGUGACAGGUGUGCGCCAUAACGAGCAACCUGGUGACCUAGAGGCUGAAGAGGGAGCAGAUGUGACACGUUUAAUUUUAAAACAUUUAUCUUACAACGGAGUUGUUCAAUCUAACUGCUUAACUAUUUAUCUUUACAUGGAAUUGUAUUUUUACUCAUUUUUUUCUAAUCUUUACAGGAAAAUGCCACGGGCACUAUCUGAUGUGUGGAGACAUUUCACUGCAGCUAAUGUAGAAGGAAAAGCUGUGUACAUUUGCAAAUACUGUGCCAAAUCAUAUGUGAAGAAUGCAACAAAGAUGCAGAAUCAUCUGGCCAAGUGCAUAAAGUUCCCUCAGCGCUCACAACAAGGAACCUCUGACAAAUGUCCCUCUACUUCUAUUCGAGGUAAAAAUGAUGAAUCAGACACCUUAUCGAUAGCAACAGCUCAUAGUUCUACUGGAAUCAGACAUUUUUUUGACUCAAUGGAGGAACGUAUUCAGAGAAAUGCAUCAGAAUUCAAGCAAAAUAGAGAAAGCAGACUGUAUUGCAAUCAUCUCUGAUGGGUGGUCAAAUGUUCAUGGGCAAGGAAUAAUUAAGUACAUCAUCUCCACCCCUCAACUAGUAUUCUACAAUAGCACGGACACAAGGGACAACAUACACACCGGUCUCUACAUUGCAGAUGAGCUGAAGGCAGUUAUCAAUGACCUUGGACCACAGAAGAUAUUUGCACUGGUGACAGACAAUGCUGUGAACAUGAAGGCUGCUUGGUCUAAAGUGGAGGAGUCCUACCCUCACAUCACUCCCAUUGGCUGUGCUGCUCAUGCGUUGAAUCUGCUCCUCGAGGACAUCAUGGCACUGAUAACAAUGGAUACACUCUAAACUCUACAAGAGAGUCAAGGAAAUGGUUAGGUAUGUAAAGGGUCAUCAAGUUAUAGCAGCAAUCUACCUCACCAAGCAAAGUGAGAAGAAUAAGAGCACCACAUUGAAGCUGCCCAGCAACAACUGUUGGGGUGGUGUUGUCAUCAUGUUUGACAGUCUCCUGGAGGGGAAAGAGUCUCUCCAAGAAAUGUCAAUAUCACAGUCUGCCGAUAUGGACAGCCCCAUCAAGAGGAUCCUCCAGGAUUAUGUAUUUUGGGAGAGAGUGGUAAAGCAGCCUGAAACACCUGAAACCUAUACUGCCCUACUAAACAUUAACUAAUUUUCGACCAAAUGAGCAGUUACUGCCUUUUUGCUUGGUAGGGCAGUAUAGCAGUAGCCCUUGCACGGAUUGAGGGAGACAAUGCCAUCCUGUCUGAUGUUCAGACUCUGCUUGCAGAUGUAAGAGAAGAAAUCCGUACUGCCCUGCCAUCUUCACUGUUGCUCCAAGCAGAGGAAACUGCAGUUCUGAAGUACAUCAAAAAGCGUGAAGACUUCUGUCUGAAGCCCACACACGCGGCAGCGUACAUGUUGGACCCCAAGUAUGCUGGCAAGAGCACCCUGUCUGGUUCAACAAGGCCUAUGGUGUCAUCAUUACCAUGUCUUGCCACCUUGGCCUGGAUGAGGGCAAUGUUCUUGGCAGUCUGGCGAAGUACACUUCCAAGCAAGGGCUUUGGGAUGGAGAUGCAAUAUGGUAGUCGUGCCAACAUAUCUCAUCAGCCACCUGGUGGAAGGGAAUUUGUAGAUCUGAGGCUUUCCCCUGUUUUUCCCCUGUUGCUUCCAUCAUCUUCCAAAUCCCACAAACAUCAGCUGUUUCAGAGCGCAACUGGGCCUUGUUUGGGAACACAUAGACCAAAGCACGCAACAGGACGACCAAUUCAAGGGUUGAAAAAUUCUCAAUAAGGUUGGAAAGUGGCAGUGAAGAUGAGGCCUCAGAGUCUGAUAUUCAAGAGGUGGACAUUGAGGAGGUCCAGGGAGAAGACAUGGAAGCCUGAGAGUAAGACAACCAAAGCUUUAGUUUAUAGACUAUCAUUUUACAGAUGUACUGUAUGUUUAAUGCUAUGGAUCAUUGGAUCAUUUAAUAUUCCCUUUCUUUUGUUGUUCAGUGAAAUCCUCCCAUGUGAAGAGUCAACUCAUUUAAUUAAAUUUAAAUUUGUAACUAAAUAGUUUUUUAAAAAUUAUAUUGGAAGGAUUUAAUCAUUUAUGAUAAGGUAAAAGGUUUAUGUUUCUGUCUCCAUAUGAUAUGGUAAAUAUAUCCAAUGCAAAAAAACAUCUACAUUUAAAUGGUAUUAAUAUUAAUUUGCAAAUAUUCCCGUUAAUUCCCAUAUAUUCCCGUUAAUUCCUACGGAAAGUUUCCACCUCUGAAUAUUCCUCAAAAUGUGCAACCAUACCCUCAAUGAUUAUUUUCUGCAGCAAGUUUCUCUGCCUCUUCUCUGACAUUUGCCUUGGCUCUCCUUGGUGGCAACAUGUGCCCCAGUUAAGUUUCUAUCUUUUGUUAACUGAACAGACCCCCUCCACAGAGGGCUCUCUCUGUCUGCACUCUCCAGCCAUAUGGCAUUGCUUGACAAAGGACACAAACAUUUCUAAUUUAAUCCAGCCCUGCUGUGCUGUGAGUCGUGCUCCACCAGGCCAAUUCUCUGGAACUAAAGACAGCAUGCUGUGUUGUGGAGCUCUAGGGAGGGUCCCGUUGGGGCCUGGCUGGGCUGCAGCAUCCCAGAGAUGAGGGAGGGGAUGCCCAGUAUUGCCCACUCUAACCUUUGAUUAAAUAGCAGCCUACAUGAAACCAAUUUCCAUUUAUUGAUUUUUAUAAUGUUUUAUUGUUAAUGUUUUAUAUAUAUUUUUUCACACCAAAUACAAACAAACAACAACUUACAGACGCACACACAUGACUACUACUCAUCUGCCCAGACCCGCAGGCUCACACCCACAUCCCUAGUGCCUGCAUUAUUGUUUGCCACAUGGUCUGAAACCGCACCAUUUUGUUUCUCUUCGUUGUCCAAGCACUUUCCAUAUUUAAAUAAUAAAUCAUUUGAUUUUUC